rnacentral:rRNA from 1 species
CUACGGGCGGCACCAGGCGCGAAACCUUUACAAUGCACGAAAGUGUGAUAAGGGUAUUCCUAGUGCUCAUGUUUUACAUGGGCUUUUGCUAAGCGUAAAUAACUUGGCGAAUAAGGGGUGGGAAAGACUGGUGCCAGCCGCCGCGGUAACACCAGCGCCCCGAGUGGGAACCGUUUUUAUUGGGCCUAAAGCGUCCGUAGCAGGUCAAGCAAAUCUCUUGUGAAAUUGUUCAGCUUAACUGAACAGCGUGCAGGAGACACUACUUUACUAGGAACCGGGAGGAGUCAGAGGUAUUUUGGGGGGAGCGGUAAAAUGCUAUAAUCCUCGAAGGACCACCGAUGGCGAAGGCAUCUGACCAGAACGGAUUCGACUGUGAGGGACGAAAGCCAGGGGAGCGAACCGGAUUAGAUACCCCGGUAGUC